CUUCACAGCAUCACUAACGCUUUCUUUUAGAUCGUAAGCAACCGUACGACACACGAAUGUGUCCUAAAAGGUGUAUUAGUUGUUCACCUUGUUCUCUCCAAUACACGCCGCGAAAUAGGUCUUAUUAUUUUACUCAUAUUUUUACAUAUUAGUAAACCUUGCUCGAUAAUAGAUGUCAGAUUAUACUUGGACGCUGAGUAACAUUUUACCUACUACAGAAGAGUGAUGUGCGAUGAUUUCUCAUUUCUUGUACAAACUAUUCCAACGCUGUAAAUCUGUACUUUUUGUUUGCCUCACAGGAUACUUUAUAACGCUUUUCCAUCCCGACCUUCUGUUCUUUUAGUACCUUAUUAUCACAAAACAAACUCAAUAUUUCUGUAACCAUGUCUCUAACGCAAUGUUCCAAAUAAACAAAUAAUUACGGUGUUGCUUGAUUUUUUCUCUCUUUAUACCGAACAUCCUCCCGUCGAAACGUCGAGUUUGCAUAGUUCCUAGACAUUUCUAACACUUACAGGUGGCGCCGUAACAAGUUCAACAUCUCCAAAGGAAGAGGAAUUCAAGGUCCCGAACCGAGCGUGUUGUCGGGGAACUUUUACGAGUUCUGGAACAAGCAUGUACAACGGUGAUGUACCAUUCCUUAUGGUGAAAGACCUGGAGCUGCUUCGUCAGGUGUUCGUCACAGACUUCGCCAUGUUCAUGAAUCGAGGGGACGUGUGGGCAACCAUGAAUGGAAACCCUGAGCUUCGCAAUACGCUGCCUUUCGCCAAGUCCGACCGAUGGAAGUUCCUCAGGCGUACAGUGUCCAUUGGAUUUACAGCGUCCAAAAUGCGGCGGGUUCUCUUCGCAGGAGAAGGCCAACCGCCAUCCCCUCGCCUUUCAGCCGUUCGGAAUGGGCGCUCGCAACUGCGGUGGGUCGAGACUCGCCCUGCUGGAAGUUACUCUCAUCGUUGCCAGACUGGUGCAUCGUUACCUGCUGCAUUUAGGAUCCCGGCAUGCGAACGGCGAACUGGAACGCAGGACACAAUCCAGCGUAGCUUCGCCAAAGGAAGGUGUCUGGAUUCGCGUAGAAAAGAUACUCUAGUGGACCUGGUAGUCAACUCUCAUGAUUACGCACUAAUGAUAAGCAAAACAAACAGGCCUGCAAUGACUCGACCUCGUCCUUGGCAAGCUCCAUAUCACGGUAUACAAGGUAUCUACAACGGCAAGGCGCUUACUUUCUUUCAGUGUUUCAGAAGGUAGCUUUGAAAAUAUGCAGUGAGGAGUACUCAUGGAUUUUGCGCACUUAUGAAAGUGGACGCUAUAGCCUACUAAAAUUGUCGGAAAGUAUUAUUUGUGAGGUGAAUGAUAUUUCAGAAUGUACAAUGUUAUUUAUGUUAUUCCUGGUUUUGUCCCAUUUUCUAUCUAACGAUCUUGUCUGAGUUGUGCACAAACAUCUCUUUCUGCGUACAUGUUUACUUUCAUCUCUCUGCGUGCUCGAAAUUCAGUUCACACUACUAUGGCACG